rnacentral:rRNA from 1 species
UACGUAGGGUGCAAGCGUUAAUCGGAAUUACUGGGCGUAAAGCGUGCGCAGGCGGUGAUGUAAGACAGGUGUGAAAUCCCCGGGCUAACCUGGGAAUGCGCUUGUUACUGGCAAGCUAGAGUGUGGCAGAGGGGGGUGGGAAUUCCAGGUGUAGCAGUGAAAUGCGUAGAAGAUCUGGAGGAACACCGAUGGCGAACGGCAGCCCC